AGUAUCAUGUUGUAGACCCGAAACCAUGUGACCUACCCAUGAGCAGGUUGAAGGUGAGGUAAAACUCACUGGAGGACCGAACCAGGGCACGUUGAAAAGUGCUUGGAUGACUUGUGGGUAGCGGAGAAAUUCCAAACGAACUUGGAGAUAGCUGGUUCUCUCCGAAAUAGCUUUAGGGCUAGCGUCGAUGUUAAGUCUCUUGGAGGUAGAGCACUGUUUGGGUGAGGGGUCCAUCCCGGAUUACCAAUCUCAGAUAAACUCCGAAUGCCAACGAGAUAUAAUCGGCAGUCAGACUGCGAGUGCUAAGAUCCGUAGUCGAAAGGGAAACAGCCCAGACCACCAGCUAAGGUCCCAAAAUAUAUGUUAAGUGGAAAAGGAUGUGGGGUUGCACAGACAACUAGGAUGUUAGCUUAGAAGCAGCUAUUCAUUCAAAGAGUGCGUAAUAGCUCACUAGUCGAGUGACCCUGCGCCGAAAAUGUACCGGGGCUAAAACAUAUUACCGAAGCUGUGGAUGACACAAAAGUGUCAUGGUAGGAGAGCGUUCUAUGUGUGAAGAAGGUGUACCGUGAGGAGCGCUGGAACGCAUAGAAGUGAGAAUGCCGGUAUGAGUAGCGCAAGACAGGUGAGAAUCCUGUCCACCGUAAGACUAAGGUUUCCAGGGGAAGGCUCGUCCGCCCUGGGUUAGUCGGGACCUAAGGAGAGACCGAAAGGUGUAUCCGAUGGACAACAGGUUGAUAUUCCUGUACUAGAGUAUAUAGUGAUGGAGGGACGCAGUAGGCUAACUAAACCAGACGAUUGGAAGUGUCUGGUCAAACAGUGAGGUGUGAUAUGAGUCAAAUGCUUAUAUCUUUAACAUUGAGCUGUGACGAGGAGCGAAGUUUAGUAGCGAAGUUAGUGAUGUCACACUGCCAAGAAAAGCUUCUAGCGAUACAUAUACUCUACCCGUACCGCAAACCGACACAGGUAGUCGAGGCGAGUAGCCUCAGGUGAGCGAGAGAACUCUCGUUAAGGAACUCGGCAAAAUGGCCCCGUAACUUCGGGAGAAGGGGCGCUGAUUUUAGAUCAGCCGCAGUGAAUAGGCCCAAGCAACUGUUUAUCAAAAACACAGCUCUCUGCUAAUCGUAAGAUGAUGUAUAGGGGGUGACGCCUGCCCGGUGCUGGAAGGUUAAGAGGAGUGCUUAGCGUAAGCGAAGGUAUGAAUUGAAGCCCCAGUAAACGGCGGCCGUAACUAUAACGGUCCUAAGGUAGCGAAAUUCCUUGUCGGGUAAGUUCCGACCCGCACGAAAGGCGUAAUGAUUUGGGCACUGUCUCAACGAGAGACUCGGUGAAAUUUUAGUACCUGUGAAGAUGCAGGUUACCCGCGACAGGACGGAAAGACCCCAUGGAGCUUUACUGCAGUUUGAUAUUGAGUAUCUGUACCACAUGUACAGGAUAGGUAGGAGCCUAUGAUAACGGGACGCCAGUUUCGUUUGAGGCGUUGUUGGGAUACUACCCUUGUGUUAUGGCUACUCUAACCCAGAUAGGCAAUCCCUAUCGGAGACAGUGUCUGACGGGCAGUUUGACUGGGGCGGUCGCCUCCUAAAAGGUAACGGAGGCGCCCAAAGGUUCCCUCAGACUGGUUGGAAAUCAGUCGUAGAGUGUAAAGGUAUAAGGGAGCUUGACUGCGAGAGCUACAACUCGAGCAGGGACGAAAGUCGGGCUUAGUGAUCCGGUGGUUCCGUAUGGAAGGGCCAUCGCUCAACGGAUAAAAGCUACCCUGGGGAUAACAGGCUUAUCUCCCCCAAGAGUUCACAUCGACGGGGAGGUUUGGCACCUCGAUGUCGGCUCGUCGCAUCCUGGGGCUGUAGUCGGUCCCAAGGGUUGGGCUGUUCGCCCAUUAAAGCGGCACGCGAGCUGGGUUCAGAACGUCGUGAGACAGUUCGGUCCCUAUCCGUCGCGGGCGUAGGAAAUUUGAGAGGAUCUGCUCCUAGUACGAGAGGACCAGAGUGGACUUACCGCUGGUGUACCAGUUGUCUUGCCAAAGGCAUCGCUGGGUAGCUAUGUAGGGAAGGGAUAAGCGCUGAAAGCAUCUAAGUGCGAAGCCCACCUCAAGAUGAGAUUUCCCAUGAUUUUAUAUCAGUAAGAGCCCUGAGAGAUGAUCAGGUAGAUAGGUUAGGAGUGUAAUUGUGGUGACACAUUUAGCGGACUAAUACUAAUAGCUCGAGGACUUAUCCAAAA
rnacentral:rRNA from 1 species